CAAGAAGCCGAAAGGCUGCUUAAAACCAUCGCGAACCUAUCCAUCAGCGUUGCUUCGGCGGAGGAGAGGCCUCCAAGCCCCCCUAGCCGCGCCCCUUCGGGGGCGCGACGCCCGCCGGAGGUACGAAACCCUUAUGUAUGCACCCCAGUGGCAUCUCUGAGUAAGCAAGCAAAUAAGUCA
rnacentral:misc_RNA from 1 species